rnacentral:rRNA from 1 species
AGAGUUCGAUCUUGGCUCAGGAUGAACACUGGCAGCAUGCUUAACACAUGCAAAUCGGAUGGGAAGUGGUGCUUCCAGUGGCGGAUGGGUGAGUAACGAAUAAGAACCUACCCUUGGGAGGGGAAGAACAACUGGAAACGGCUACUAAUACCCUAUAGGCUGAGGAGCAAAAGGAGGAAUCUGCGUGAGGAAGGGCUCGUGUUUGAUUAGCUAGUUGGUGAGGCAACAACUUACCAAGGCGAUGAUCAAUAGCUGGUCUAAGAAGAUGAUCAGCCAUACUGGGACUGAGACAUAGUCUAGACUUCUAUGGGAGGCAGUCGUGGGGAAUUUUCUGCAAUGGGUGAAAGCCUGAUGAAGCAAUGCCACGUGGAGGUAGAAGGCCUAUGGCUCAUCAACUUCUUUUCCCAGAUAAGAAACAAUGACGGUAUCUGGGGAAUAAGCAUCAGCUAACUCUAUGCUAGCAGUCGCGGUAAGACAGAGGAUGCAAGUGUUAUCCAUAAUGAUUAGGUGCAAAGCAUCUGUAUGUGGGUUUUUCAGUUCGCCAUUAAAUCUUAGGGCUCAAACCUAGACAGGCGGUGGAAACUACCAAGUUGGAGUAUGGUAAGGGCAGAGGGAAUUUCCGAUGGAGAGAUGAAAUGCGUAAAGAAUGGAAAGAGCACCAAUGGCGAAAGCACUCUGCUGGGCCAACACUGACACUGAGAGAUGAAAGCUAGGGGAGCAAAUGGGAUUAGAUACCCCAGUAGUCCUAGCCAUAAACGAUGGUUACUAGGCACUGUUCGUAUCGACUCUUGCAGUGCUGUAGCUAAUGCAUUGAGUAUCCUACCUGGGGAUUAUGUUCACAAGAAUGAAACUCAAAGGAAUUUACGGGGGCCCGUACAAGUGGUGGAGCAUGUGGUUUAAUUCAAUGCAAAGUGAAGAACCUUACGAGGGCUUGACAUGCUGCGAAUUCUCUUGAAAUAGAGGGGUGCCUUCGGGAAUGCAGACACAGGUGGUGCAUGGCUGUAGUCAGCUCAUAUUGUAAGGUGUUGGCUUAAGUCCCACAAUGAGCAUAACCCUCAUGUUUAGUUUCCACCGUUGAGUUUGGAACCCUGAGCAGACUGCCGGUGAUAAGCUGGAGGAAGGUGACGAUGACGUCAAGUCAUCAUACCCCUUAUGCCCUGGGUGAUAUACGUGCUAGAAUGGCUGAGACAAAGGGUCGCAAUCACGUGAAAGUGAGCUAACUCCAAAAACCCAUCCUCAGUUCGGAUUGUAGAUGGCAACUCGCCUAUACGAAGUGGGAAUAACUAGUAAUCGCCGGCUAGCCAUACGGCGGUGAAUUCAUUCUUGAGCCUUGUACACAUCGCCCGUCACAUUAUGGGAGCUGGCCAUGCCCGAAGUGACUAGAGGAGGGGGAUUUCGACGGCACAGCUAGUGACUGGAGUGAAGUCGUAACAAGGUAGCCGUACUGGAAGGUGCGGCUA